CCUACGGGAGGCAGCAGUGAGGAAUAUUGGUCAAUGGGCGCGAGCCUGAACCAGCCAAGUCGCGUGAGGGAUGAAGGUUCUAUGGAUCGUAAACCUCUUUUACAAGGGAAUAAAGUGUGGGACGUGUCCUAUUUUGUAUGUCCCUUUUGAAUAAGGAUCGGCUAACUCGGUGCCAGCAGCCGCGGUAAUACGGAGGAUCCGAGCGUUAUCCGGAUUUAUUGGGUUUAAAGGGUGCGUAGGCGGCCUUUUAAGUCUGCGGUGAAAGUCUGUGGCGCAACCAUAGAAUUGCCGUUGAAACUGGGGGGCUGGAGUAUGUGUGAGGCAGGCGGAAUGCGUGGUGUAGCGGUGAAAUGCUUAGAUAUCACGCAGAACCCCGAUUGCGAAGGCAGCCUGUCAAGCCAUGACUGACGCUGAUGCACGAAAGCGUGGGGAUCAAACAGGAUUAGAUACCCUUGUAGUC
rnacentral:rRNA from 1 species